rnacentral:lncRNA from 1 species
UGAAAUAUGUGGCAGUAAAUCCUUGAUGAAGAAGGUUUAAAUCUCUUAUCCACGUGUGAUUUGCGACUGCAUCAUGUAGUGUCCUGUUCUUCCUUCUGGAGAUAUGAUAUAGAUUUGGCGCAAUGUCCCUUGGCCUUUGUCCACUUACCCAGCCACUGUCCCAGAAGGAAGUCUUGUUGCCGUCUCCCACUGUAAUCUUGGUUGCCGCCGCAAAGAGUUUGCGGUCCGUUUGGGAGCAAGGGAUGUCCUAGCUUUCCCAGGAAGGUCCAUCAUUCAUCCAGUCCUGCCAGAGCCAUCGUAACCGCAAGGCCCUGGAGAACUUUUCGAGGUGUAACACACCUAGCCCUCCUCCCCUCCUAGGCCUUGCAGAUCGUGUCCA